UCUGGAUUGGUCUGACUGACUCUGUUACUGAGGGGACCUGGAAAUGGGUGGACGGCACCCCACUGACCACAGGGUACUGGGGGACAGGACAGCCUGAUAAUAGUGGGCAAGAGGACUGUGUUGAGAUAUACUAUGGACAAGAUGACCCUGUACAGACAUGGAAUGAUGACAAAUGUGACAAAUAUCAUAACUGGAUCUGUGAGAAAGUGGUGUAACAAUAACCCACAGUAACAAACAUUAUCUCUGUCUCUCUUUCUCUCUCCCUCUAAUGGUUGGAUAAGGUCCUGAAUGGUUAAGUGAUGAUUCCACCUAGUGGUUAAAGUGACAGAUGAACUCACCAUAGAGGUGAAAUAAUGAUAUUACAGACUUAUCAAAACACAUUGGAGAAUAGAAUCUUAGGGGAGGGACCUUGGACCUUCUCCUCUAAUAGGGUUGAAAGGAGGAUAGGAGAUAGGAGGAGAGGAAUCUAGGAAAGACUAAUUGAGAUAGAGCCUUAGCGUCAGAGAGAGACAUAGAGGUUGAGGAAGAAACUUAAGAGAAUGAGGAAGAGAGAAACAAUAAGACAAAUGAUUGUUGUGUUUAGAUUUAGAGGAGAGUAUGUAGACGUACUGUCCUCUGUAAAAUGAUUAUUCUUUAUUUUUAUUAGAAACAUGUCAUGUGAUUUACCAUAGACUUAUGCUUAGUAAAAUAAAAUUGGGACCAAUUAUUAACCAAUGCUUAUCACUUUAAUGAUAUGAAUAACAAAGUCACUUUUGAGAAAAAAAAGGAACAAUUGUCUUUAA